ensembl:snRNA U6 U6 spliceosomal RNA
GUGCUCGCUUUGGCAGCACAUAUCCUAAACUUGGAACGAUGCAGAGAUUACCAUGGCCCCUGUGCAAGGAUGACACGCAAAUUCGUGAAGCAUUCCUUAUUUUU